rnacentral:rRNA from 1 species
GAUGAACGCUGGCGGCGUGCCUAAUACAUGCAAGUCGAGCGAACGGACGAGAAGCUUGCUUCUCUGAUGUUAGCGGCGGACGGGUGAGUAACACGUGGAUAACCUACCUAUAAGACUGGGAUAACUUCGGGAAACCGGAGCUAAUACCGGAUGAUAUUUUGAACCGCAUGGUUCAAAAGUGAAAGACGGUCUUGCUGUCACUUAUAGAUGGAUCCGCGCUGCAUUAGCUAGUUGGUAAGGUAACGGCUUACCAAGGCAACGAUGCAUAGCCGACCUGAGAGGGUGAUCGGCCACACUGGAACUGAGACACGGUCCAGACUCCUACGGGAGGCAGCAGUAGGGAAUCUUCCGCAAUGGGCGAAAGCCUGACGGAGCAACGCCGCGUGAGUGAUGAAGGUCUUCGGAUCGUAAAACUCUGUUAUUAGGGAAGAACAUAUGUGCAAGUAACUGUGCACAUCUUGACGGUACCUAAUCAGAAAGCCACGGCUAACUACGUG